GACGAACGCUGGCGGCGUGCCUAAUACAUGCAAGUCGAGCGAAGUUUUUCUGGUGCUUGCACUAGAAAAACUUAGCGGCGAGCGGGUGAGUAACACGUAAAGAACCUGCCUCAUAGACUGGGACAACUAUUGGAAACGAUAGCUAAUACCGGAUAACAGUAUUUCUCGCAAGGGAGAGAUUUAAAAGUUGGUUAUGGUAACAAUAUGAGAUGGCUUUGCGGUGCAUUAGCUAGUUGGUGGGGUAAAGGCCCACCAAGGCGACGAUGCAUAGCCGACCUGAGAGGGUGAUCGGCCACACUGGGACUGAGACACGGCCCAGACUCCUACGGGAGGCAGCAGUAGGGAAUCUUCCGCAAUGGGCGAAAGCCUGACGGAGCAACGCCGCGUGAGUGAAGAAGGAUUUCGGUUCGUAAAGCUCUGUUGUUAGGGAAGAAUGGAUAUGUAGUAACUAUACAUGUAAGAGACGGUACCUAACCAGAAAGCCACGGCUAACUACGUG
rnacentral:rRNA from 1 species